rnacentral:rRNA from 1 species
GAUGAAUGCUGGCGGCGUGCUUAACACAUGCAAGUCGAGCGGAAAGGCCCUUCGGGGUACUCGAGCGGCGGACGGCUGAGUAACGCGUGGGAACAUGCCCCAAAGUGAGGAAUAACUGCCCGAAAGGGUGGCUAAUGCCGCAUAUGAUCUUCGGAUUAAAGGAUUUAUCCGCUUUGGGAGUGGCCUGCGUAUGAUUAGGUAGUUGGUGAGGUAAUGGCUCACCAAGCCGACGAUCAUUAGCUGGUCUGAGAGGAUGACCAGCCAGACUGGAACUGAGACACGGUCCAGACUCCUACGGGAGGCAGCAGUGAGGAAUAUUCCACAAUGGGCGAAAGCCUGAUGGAGCAACGCCGCGUGAAGGAUGAAGGCCCUCGGGUUGUAAACUUCUUAUAUAAGUGAAGAAUAUGACGGUAACUUAUGAAUAAGCACCGGCUAACUACGUGCCAGCCGCCGCGGUA